UAGUGAGUUUGAUCCUGGCUCAGGAUGAACGCUGGCGGUCUGCUUAACACAUGCAAGUCGAACGCAAGUAGAAAUACUUGAGUGGCGGACGGGUGAGUAACGCGUGAGAAUCUGCCUUCUGGUCGGGGACAACCACUGGAAACGGUGGCUAAUACCGGAUAUGCCUAUAGGGUGAAAGAUUUUAUGUCCUGGGAGUAGAGCUCGCGUCUGAUUAGCUA
rnacentral:rRNA from 1 species